rnacentral:lncRNA from 1 species
CCCAGGGCUCUUUCUUCAUAUAUUGUUUUUUGUUAUGAAGAUGUGUUAGGCCCAAAGAAGUGGAGGCCUAGGAACUUUUUUUUUUUUUUUUUUUUAUUUUUAUUUUUUAUUUUUAUUUUUUUUACUCCCUCCCUUUUUCUUGUGUCAUUUACAUGGGUGUAUUCGAAUGGAGCUGAAUGAGGGGUAGGGUAUGACUCAUUAUCAUGUGCCAUGAUUUUGUCUUCCUUUAGCUUCUCUUUUGCUUUGCUUUAGUCUUCCUUUAGCUUUUCUUCAAUAUAACACCAUUUUCUGUGGCUCAGAUCGCAAAACCAUCUUCAUGAAAGUUGUUCCUUAGCUCGUGAACUACAACAUAUCCGAAUUGGAGAUCCAUCGGAGCAGUACAACUCCAGAAAUUCAGGUAUGAUGAGUGAUUGUUCGUCAUUUGUAUAUCAACGCGUCAGACUUGUUGUGAGCUUCAAAAACUCCAUUUUCUCUUGCUCAGAUCAACAUACUUUCUUCAUCGAAGUUGUUCCUUAACUUGUGAACUACAACAUAUCCAAAUUUGAGGUCCCUCGGAGCAGUAUAACUCCAGAAAUCCAGGUAUGAUGAGUGACUGUUUAUCAUUUGUCUGUCAACCCGUCAGAUUUGUUGUGAGCUUUGAAACUCUAUUUUCUCUUGCUCAAAUAAGCAUGCUUUCUUCAUUGAAGUUGUUCCUCAGCUUGUGAACUACAACAUAUCCAAAUUUGAGAUCCCUCGGAGCUGUAUAACUCAAGAAAUUCAGGUAUGAUGAAUGACUGGUUAUUAUUUUUCUGUCAACCCGUCAGAUUUGUUGUGAGCUUUGAAACUCUAUUUUCUCUUGCUCAGAUCAGCAUGCUUUCUUCAUUGAAGUUGUUCCUCAGCUUGUGAACUUCAACAUAUCCAAAUUUGAGAUCCCUCGGAGAAGUAUAACUCCAGAAAUCCAGGUAUGAUGAAUGACUGGUUAUUAUUUUUCUGUCAACCCGUCAGAUUUGUUGUGAGCUUUGAAACUCUAUUUUCUAUUGUUCAGAUCAGCAUGCUUUCUUCAUUGAAGUUGUUCCUCAUCGUCUCUUUCAUAACAUAUCAAAAAUUCAGAAUGAACUAAUGGUUAAAUAUUUCCAGAUCUUCGAAACAUCACAGCAGCUUCGAAAUCUGCAAGAAUCCGACUGUCAUGCUUGGAGCUUCAACACUUUAAUUUCCGUGGCUCAAACAGAAAUGGUUCCUUCUUGAAAGUUGUUCAUCUGCUCAAGAACUAGAGGGUGUCCAAAAUUCAGCUCCAUUGGAGAGAAGCAGCAGCUGCAAAAAUUUGAUAGAGAAAAGGAGGCGAAGCUUUGUUGGAUUUCUAGGCUGGGGAAGAUUCCAGUUUUUGUAGCAACUUCAGUACUGGUGAAUUGCUUGUAUUUUUGUCCAUAACUAAAUUUUGGACUUUGAAUUAUUAUUUGAUCUAUCAUAAUAUGUUUGGGAACAUAUAUAAGUGAAUAAAUAAGAAGGAAGAUUUUGGGCCCUUGUGGGUGUAAAACAAAAAAUGUUUAGGUUGUGUGAACAAAAUUUGUUUAUUUGGAGCAAGGUUUUGUGUUGAAGCUUUGUAGGUGAAGCUUUGGUGUUGAAGCUUUCUAGGUGAAGCUUUGAUGGUGAAGCUUUGUAGAUGAAGCUUUGUAGAUGAAGCUUUCUAGGUGAAGCUUUUUUAGGUGAAGCUUUGUAGGUGAAGCUUUUUUAAGUGAAGCUUUGGGCCCUUGUGAAGCUUUGGAGGUGAAGCUUUUCGGGUGAAGCUUUUUUGGGUGAAGCUUUGUGGGUGAAGCUUUUGAGGUGAAGCUUUGUGGGUGAAGCUUUGGAGGUGAAGCUUUUCGGGUGAAGCUUUUUUGGGUGAAGCUUUGUGGGUGAAGCUUUUUAGGUGAAGCUUUGUGGGUGAAGCUUUGGAGGUGAAGCUUUUUUAAGUGAAGCUUUGGGCCCUUGUGAAGCUUUGGAGGUGAAGCUUUUCGGGUGAAGCUUUUUUGGGUGAAGCUUUGUGGGUGAAGCUUUUGAGGUGAAGCUUUGUGGGUGAAGCUUUGGAGGUGAAGCUUUGUGGGUGAAGCUUUGGAGGUGAAGCUUUUCGGGUGAAGCUUUUUUUGGGU